GAUGAAGAACGUAGCGAAAUGCGAUACUUGGUGUGAAUUGCAGAAUCCCGUGAACCAUCGAGUCUUUGAACGCAAGUUGCGCCCGAAGCCAUCAGGUUGCGGGCACGUCUGCCUGGGCGUCACAUAUCGUUGCCCAAUGCCUAUUGCAGUGCAAUAGGAAUUUCUAGGGCGAAUGAUGGCUUCCCGUGAGCGUUGUUGCCUCGCGGUUGGUUGAAAAUCGAGUCCUUGGUAGGGUGUGCCAUGGUAGAUGGUGGUCGAGUUAGAACGAUACCGAUCAUGUGCAUGCUCCCCAAAAUAUGGCCUCUAUGACCCACUCGCGUCUUUUGACGCUCAUGACGAGACCUCAGGUCAGGCGGGGCUACCCGCUGAAUUUAAGCAUAUCAAUAAGCGGAGGA
rnacentral:misc_RNA from 1 species